rnacentral:rRNA from 1 species
AGAGUUUGAUCCUGGCUCAGGAUGAACGCUAGCGGCAGGCCUAACACAUGCAAGUCGAGGGGUAACAGGAGUAGCUUGCUACUUGCUGACGACCGGCGCACGGGUGCGUAACGCGUAUACAAUCUACCUUUUGCUGAGGGAUAGCCCAGAGAAAUUUGGAUUAAGACCUCAUAGUAUGUUGAGAUGGCAUCAUUUUAAUAUUAAAGCUUCGGCGGCAGAAGAUGAGUAUGCGUUCUAUUAGCUAGAUGGUGUGGUAACGGCACACCAUGGCAACGAUAGAUAGGGGCCCUGAGAGGGGGAUCCCCCACACUGGUACUGAGACACGGACCAGACUCCUACGGGAGGCAGCAGUGAGGAAUAUUGGGCAAUGGAGGCAACUCUGACCCAGCCAUGCCGCGUGCAGGAAGACGGCCCUAUGGGUUGUAAACUGCUUUUAUAGAGGAAGAAACCCCACCACGUGUGGUGGGCUGACGGUACUCUACGAAUAAGGACCGGCUAACUCCGUGCCAGCAGCCGCGGUAAUACGGAUGGUCCAAGCGUUUUAUCCGGAAUCCUUUGGGUUUAAGGGGGGUGCGUAGGCUGAAAAUUAAGUCAGUGGUGAAAUCUUGUAGCUCAACUACAAAACUGCCAUUGAUACUGGUUUUCUUGAGUAUAGUUGAGGUAGGCGGAAUGUGUAGUGUAGCGGUGAAAUGCAUAGAUAUUACACAGAACACCAAUUGCGAAGGCAGCUUACUAAACUAUAACUGACGCUGAUGCACGAAAGCGUGGGUAGCGAACAGGAUUAGAUACCCUGGUAGUCCACGCCGUAAACGAUGAUUACUCGUUGCAUGCGAUACAUUGUAUGUGACUUAGCGAAAGCAUUAAGUAAUCCACCUGGGGAGUACGUUGGCAACAAUGAAACUCAAAGGAAUUGACGGGGGCCCGCACAAGCGGAGGAACAUGUGGUUUAAUUCGAUGAUACGCGAGGAACCCUUACCAGGGCUUAAAUGUAAGUUGCAUAGAUCAGAGAUGGUCUUUUCUUCGGACUACUUACAAGGUGCUGCAUGGUUGUCGUCAGCUCGUGCCGUGAGGUGUCAGGUUAAGUCCUAUAACGAGCGCAACCCCUACCGUUAGUUGCCAGCAUGUAAAGAUGGGGACUCUAGCGGGACUGCCGGUGCAAACCGAGAGGAAGGUGGGGAUGACGUCAAAUCAUCACGGCCCUUACGUCCUGGGCUACACACGUGCUACAAUGGUAACGACAGAGGGCAGCCACCCCGCGAGGGGGAGCGAAUCCUUAAACGUUAUCUCAGUUCGGAUCGGAGUCUGCAACUCGACUCCGUGAAGCUGGAUUCGCUAGUAAUCGGAUAUCAGCCAUGAUCCGGUGAAUACGUUCCCGGGCCUUGUACACACCGCCCGUCAAGCCAUGGAAGCUGGGGGUGCCUGAAGUCGGUGACCGAAAGGAGCUGCCUAGGGUAAAACUAGUAACUGGGGCUAAGUCGGAACAAGGUAGCCGUACCGGGC